rnacentral:rRNA from 1 species
UGGGGAAUAUUGGACAAUGGGCGCAAGCCUGAUCCAGCCAUGCCGCGUGAGUGAUGAAGGCCUUAGGGUUGUAAAGCUCUUUCGCCGGUGAAGAUAAUGACGGUAACCGGAGAAGAAGCCCCGGCUAACUUCGUGCCAGCAGCCGCGGUAAUACGAAGGGGGCUAGCGUUGCUCGGAAUCACUGGGCGUAAAGCGCACGUAGGCGGAUCGUUAAGUCAGGGGUGAAAUCCUGGAGCUCAACUCCAGAACUGCCCUUGAUACUGGCGAUCUCGAGUUCGAGAGAGGUUGGUGGAACUCCGAGUGUAGAGGUGAAAUUCGUAGAUAUUCGGAAGAACACCAGUGGCGAAGGCGGCCAACUGGCUCGAUACUGACGCUGAGGUGCGAAAGCGUGGGGAGCAAAACAGGAUUAGAUACCCUGGUAGUCCACGCCGUAAAACGAUGGAUGCUAGCCGUUGGGGGGUUUACCUCUCAGUGGCGCAGCUAACGCCUUAAGCAUCCCGCCUGGGGAGUACGGUCGCAAGAUUAAAAACUUAAAUGAAUUGACGGGGUCAUAGCUGUUUCCU